CCUCCUGCAAAAAUCAAUGUAUAGGAGGUCUCGCCUGCCCAGUGACAAGUUAAACGGCCGCGGUAUUUUGACCGUGCGAAGGUAGCGCAAUCACUUGUCUUUUAAAUGAAGACCUGUAUGAAUGGUAGAACGAGGGCUUAACUGUCUCCCUUUUUAAGUCAAUGAAAUUGAUCUGCCCGUGCAGAAGCGGACAUAAUAAUACAAGACGAGAAGACCCUUUGGAGCUUAAGACUCCAGAUCAAUUAUGUCAAGAACUUAAAUCAAGUUAAACCAAAUAACACCUGAUCCUAAUCUUCAGUUGGGGCGACCGCGGGAGAAAAUAAAGCUCCCAUGAGGACUGGAACCACCUCCAGAACCAAGAAAGACAUCUCUAAGUCACAGAACCUCUGACCAAAAAGAUCCGGCCACCCGCCGACCAACGGACCAAGUUACCCUAGGGAUAACAGCGCAAUCCCCUUCUAGAGUCCAUAUCGACAAGGGGGUUUACGACCUCGAUGUUGGAUCAGGACAUCCUAAUGGUGCAGCCGCUAUUAAGGGUUCGUUUGUUCAACGAUUAAAGUC
rnacentral:rRNA from 1 species